CGCAGCUUUCUCCUUUCUUCCAGGAUCACAGAUAUGCAAUCUUUACUCAUUUUCAGGAUUUCUUCAUUUCAGGACUAAAGACCUAAAGACAGAAGAUUGGUUAUAAAUUAAGAGAAGCCAAAGCAGAACAUUACAUUUUUUUAUUCUUUUUUAGGCUGUGGAAACUAUUCACAUAAUCUAUCGUUUGUUUCUGCUCCUUUCCUAAUUUUAGCUGAUAUCCGGGAUGUACAGUUUUUUACUGACCCUUCAUUUUUGUUCUGUGAAACAGCAUUUGAAUCGCAUAUAUUAGCCUUAUUGUUAAUUUUUGAGUAUAAAGACAUGAAGGUUGCUGUCUUGGACUUGGGAACUGUAUUUGCUAAAUUUUUUAAAUCAUCUGUAUCUCCUAUAAGCCCUGGACCAACCAAUAAUCCUUUCUCUCAAGGCUCUAAUGCAGGGAGCUCUUCAGGAUCAACAGUCCCUUCCCUGGCUGGUAAAACCCCAUUCCUUCUACUUUCUGCACCACCAUCGCCUCUGCACAUCCUCAAUACACCCACUGCAUCUACCUCCUCCUUGUCUCGUAUUCCCUCGGGAAAAGCUUUGACUCCAAGUCCUCACUCAAGUGGUAUUUCUGCACCUAGCAGUCCUGCUCAUUCAGUAAAGCCUCAGCCUUCAAAUUCUGCAUCCAGCAGUUUGGCACAACUUAAACAACUCAAUGAGGAUUCAUGGACAAAUCCAGCGCAUACAGCUUCAUCUACCACAUCACCAGUGACAAUUCUCGUACGUCCAGGACCAACAAGUAUCACUACAAUGACACCGGCAAUGCAAUCUAACCACUCCAGUCGGUCACCAAGGCUUCUUCAAGAGACAUCUGUCUCCGGUUGGAACACCAAAUCUAUGCUUUUCACCCUGCCUGAUAUUGGGGAAGAGAGCACAGAUUAUGAAGACAAUCUCAGCCAUGGAAAAGGAUUGUCUCGAGGUAACGCAGACCCUCGGCUCUCUGACAAAGGAGGUGACCCUCUUCCAGUGCAUUUUACACGGCCUGUCCAGGAAGCCAUCCAUAACUACAUCUGUGAAUCGGUCUCAUCUUUGUCUUCCAGUGGACAAACCACUCCAACAGAUUUAAAUAAUUCUUGGUCAGGGAUUCAAAGCUAUACUACUGGACUGUCCACUGAAAGGAGCUCAGUCUACUCCUGGAGAGAUGAUGAGUUUGAUAAAGCCAACACACAGAGAGUGCAUCAGUUAUUCUGGGAUGUGGAUGAGAUGCUGUUUGAAGGCAGCAUUACUUCUCAGAACAAGAACCUGCAAGCAGAAUGCAAAGACUGGACCAAGAGGUCUCUUCAUCUUAGAAUAUUGGGCAAGCAACUUAUAUUUCCAAAGGAUGACGGUUUCCAGCACUUUCAGGGCAGGAAUUCAAAUUCCUCAUCUUCGAGUUCAUCUACAGGUUCCAAGAGUAUUAAUGAGCGCUCCAGCUCCUUGAGGCAACUGUGUGUAUCUGGAUCACGGCUUGUCCCGACAGUAUCACCAUUACAAAGAACUGAUGAGUCCACAUCUAGUACAAGUUCUUUGGGGUCUGAGUCAUCAGUUUAUUCAUUCCUGGAGGAAGAGAUCUAUGAUGUGGAAGGCACCAUUGAGGAGUACCUUGCCUAUGACAGCAGAGAGCAUGAUGAUGAGGGUUUGGAUCAAAAGAAAACUCAGCUUCACCAAAAGAGGACAAAGCGUGGCAUUCCUCCGGUUUCCCCUAAUGACUGUAUCAAGGACACAGUCGCUGCAGAAGUUUUUGAUGACACUUGGAGGACUAUAGUGGGAUCCAUUCAAGAACUGCUCAUUAAAACAUGGGAAAUUGCCUCAGUUUCAGUGGAAAUAAAACAAGCAGGAAAGAUCCAUAAUUCUGCAAACCACUAUCUUCAGCUUCCAGUUCCUCGUUUAACGUCAGAGACGACAGUCGUUCCUCCAUCACGAGGCUCUGAGGCACGGAGUAGUUCAUACGGUGCUUAUAUUUUUACGCCGCAGACAAUUCGUAAUUUAGGUAGUGACUUGAAUGGAUUAAUGACGAUACAAGCUAAACCUUUGCAGCACCGCCAUGCUGGACUGGUAGAGAAGACACAUGAACAAGAAGAUAAAAGUUUACCUGCUAUGCCAAGAGUAUUAAACUCCGCAAGAAACCGACUUGGAAGAUCGAGUGACAAUAGCAUUUUUUCAUCCUCUCGGCUUCUACACACUCCUUCUAGGAAAACCCCCACCCAGCGAAGACUGCCUGCUCUUACAUUAGAUCCAAUGCGCUCGAAAACACCCAAUGUGUACAGUGAUGAAGUCCUUAGGGGUACAAAACUAUAUACUGGAUUAGACAGGCUGUCUUCACCAUCCAUCCAAACCAGCAGGAACAAACUACCACCAAUUAAUUCAGUGGAAACAGUGGAGCAGCACUUAUCGGUGCCCGGAUCUCGACAUUCUGCUAACAGAACGAAGCAACCACACAGCCGGGUAUCUAGUGCAGUACCUGAUACCACAGGACGCCGACCCCUGCGGGAGAAAACAGUUGUAAUAGAACAGUUUUCAAGACCCAAUACAACACACACCUUUAGGUCAGAGACAUCUCACAGAAGAUCUUUUACUCCAUUGGAUUUUGCUAAUCACACAUGGACUGGACAUUCUUUCCUGACAAGUUCACAGUAUCAACCAAAAUCUUUUCAGAGAAAUCCACCGAAUUCACGGAGAAAAUUCCCAGUGCCGUCUUAAUAAGGAGCAAUAGGAAGUGUGGUUUUGUACCUUUUAAGCCAUCUUGCAGAUGUUCACAGUGGAUUUCACCAUUUGCAAUGCAUUGAAUGAAUUUCAUGGCAAAUCUGCAGUACGCUGCAGGAAACUUCCUACAAUUUAUACAUGUCUGCUCCUUGCAACUAUAUUAAGUGCUUCUGAGUCCGAAAAUUGUAAUAUCUGUAAUAUCAUGGAGCACGUCUCUUCUUAUCCUGUUUUAUAGCUUGUGUUCACCCUCUACGCAAAUUUACAUCAUAUAGUACCAGAUGAGUAUCUUGAGUGCCCCUACCGAUAGAGAGAGGAGCUUCAUUACCUCCAUAAAACGAAAUAUAGCAGCAGGCAAUAGUCUUCUGUCCUUGCAUAUGCGGUAGUGGGUCCAGCGAGACCUCUAGGGCUUUAGAGGUCAUACGGUGCAUAGCAAAGUGCUCCCUAAAGCAUGACAAUUAUUGCUUGGGAUGGAGAACAUGUUUUAUAUGGAGACUUUAAUACAUCGGGCAGUUUUUAUGUCUACAGAAUUGCCCAGUCUACAGUUUGUAAUGAUGUAGUCCAACAUGGCCAGAUGCACUGGGCCUGAAGACAUCUCAGAUAUUGGAGAAACGAUCAUUUAUUUAAAGAAGACCUGUCACCACUCCUGACAUGUCUGUUUUAGAUAAGAGUUUUAUUUUCCUGAGAAUCUUUUCUCAUAAUCCUAUGCUGAGUUGUUCCUCGGUUAUUCCUACUAAAAUCCUAUGAAUAAAUUGACAGCUGAGUGUUACCAGUUGGAGGUUUAUUGCUGCCAGUGUCCAGCACACCCCAUUGACAAGGAGAAGGGUAACAUCCAGUUCUUAAUUUGUUCAUAAGUUCUAAGGAAUGGCACAACUGAGUUAUAAGCAAAGGUGCUCCAAAACUCUUAUUUCUUGGUGGAAUGCAAGCGUGUGCAAAAUCAGACAUGUCCAGAGUGAUCAGACCUAUCUUUCAUACAUUACAUGUGAUCUGAAAUUCUGGCUAUGGAAAGAUUCCCUCAAAUGGGAAAAUGACCGUCAAUCAGUGCAUCACAGCAAAAAUGGGAGCUGAAUGAGGGGAUCGGGUCAUAAUGAAUUUUACAUUACAUAUCCCACUGAUUUAUAAGGAAUAUGGAUGCCUUGUCUGAACAUGAUCUAGGAGUAGCUCAUGCGGACAUGUCUUAUAAUAAUUCAUUUUCUGACAUGAGUGCCUUACACUCGGAGAACUGGCACGACAAUGGCACUGUUUUGUUCUAUAAAUGUGUUUUACAGGUUAAAGUGCAGCCAUUAAUAAUGAUUAGUGUUGAGCGAACUUAUGAGAAAUUCCAUUCGGCUGCUGCGCAAAAUUUCACAAGGAAAUUUGAUUUGUGCCAAAUUACUUUGUCAGUCACAAAAUGCAUUCCUUUGUAUGUAGUAGGCGCAAUGACGGGGAAAGGCGAUCGCGCCACCCCUCCUAUCAUUAAACCCUUUAAAUGGAGAUUUCAUCGCUGAUCGAGGCAUAUGAUGCUACAAUUUUGGGCUUUCAGGGGUUAAUCCGGUAAAAAAAACUAAACAAACCUACUCACCUAAUCCAUUCGCUCGUGGAGAAGCCGUCGCGGCCAUCUUGACUGAAUACACCGGACAAAAUCUGUGACGUCACAAUUCACCCCGCGUGAGAUUUCACUCUGUAUUUUCAAUCAAGAUGGCCGCAACGGCCUCUCUGCAAGCCAAUUAAUGAGGUGAGUAUGUUUUUUAUUUUUUUUCACUGCCAUUACCAACGAAGCAUGAGGAAAUACGGCUUCAUGGCGAAUCAAAUUUUUCCUGACAUUUGGAUCAAAGUCAAUUAAUUUGGCUUCAAUUCACUCAACACUAAUACAGGCAAUGAUGAAAUCGUCGGUGACUGUAAUGAAAAACGGUAAUGGAAAUGUUUUGCUUGUAUUUGAAUGGACCCUGAAUAAUAAUGUAAAGUAAUGCAUAUUACAUGGAAUGCACUUUAAAAUGUUGUAGAAAGCACAAACAUACACGCAAUGUAUUAUAGUGUUAUAUACAGUUUUAAUUUAUAAUGUGUAUAAUCGGAUUCUAUUUUUAUAUCAGCACACUGAUGUAAUGUACCCAACUAUACCGUAAUUGUGACAUUAUUGUAGAAAUUGUCUCAUGCAAUCACACUUGCUAAUGUGUUUCUGACACAAAUGAGUCCAGGAACCAUUUAAUUGUUAGAUAAUUUAGGAAAUGUUAAGAUAUAACUAAUAUGCCAGUUUUCAGGGUUAGGAAAGGUAAUCUUAGACACUUAAAGGGGUUGUCCCAUCACAAGAACUUAUCCUCUUUCCAUAGGAUAAGGGAUGUGUCUGAUAGGCGGGCGUCUGACCACGGGGGCCCAUCAAGUACUAGAAUGGGCCUGUGUUCCUCUGAACUGAGCAGCAGACACACAUGCAUGUCCACCGCUUCAUUCACCUGCAUGGGACUGCUAGAGAUGAUGAAGUACAAGCACUUGGAAAUCUUUCGCGACCUAAUAAAGUUGAAUGAAGUGACAGUGCUCAGGCGUGUCCACUACUCCAUUUAAACACCUGUAAUAAGCGGAAGGAGGAGAGAGGGACACUGGAUGAAAAAAGUGUCAUGAGGUAAGCCACAACAACUGAACACACGUGUAAGAAGAUGAGAGCCUUCUGUAGGUUUGCUGCUGGAAUUCAAGGACCAACACCAGGGAUGAAAACCAGUUGGAUAGCCAGACGUGUAGACUGCAAUAAAGAAAGAAGAAGAAUCCAGGGACCAGCGCUUUCCAUGAACUAAGACUGUAAGAUCAUACAGUAAAAUCAGUCUAAGUACACGUUUUGAGGAAACAAACCCUUCAGAAAAGGACAUAUGAUAUAUCGGUAUCUGAAGAAGGGAUUGUUUUUGUUAUUGGACUGAUUUUACUGUAUGAUCUUGAAUAAACGCCAUCGUUUGUGGAAAGCGCUGGUUUCUGGACUUUUCUUCUUUCUUCAGUACUGCAUUCAAACAGGGGCACUGUUCUUGAGAUCAUAGGGGGGGCCCACAGCAGUUGGACAGUCAAACGCUUAUCCUCUAUCCUGGGCUUAGGGAAUAAGUUUUAAUUGAAAUGCUGUGAUCAAUCCAACAUUAAAGGGGUUGUCCAGGAUUUUGAUAUUGAUGGUCUUUCUUCAGGAGAAGUCAUCAAUAUCAGAUCGGUGGAGGUCUCGCACCCCAGCUAAUCAGCUGUUUUGAGGUGGCUCCAAUGCCAGAUGUUGGGACUGGAAAUGUACAGCUCUGUUUAUAGAGUAGUGGAUGAAGUUGGUAACUGCAGAGUGUUGCUCCAAUUCACAUCAGUGGGAACAGUGCUCCAGUUACCACCUCCAUCCACUACAUAAUGGACAGAGCUGUGUAGUUCUGGUGAUGACUUCUGAACAAAACUGCAAAUCGUUGGGAAUGUAGGUUGUCAGACCCUGCCAAUCUGUUACUGAUGGUCUAUCCUGAGAAUAGGCUAUCAAUAUCAAAAUCUUAGACAUCCCCUUUAAGAAUUUUAUAGAAAGAUAGGUGGUGUCUGACUUUUGACUGCCAUCAUAUAGAAGUGAGUUCCCGUCUUUUGUAAGAAACCAAGGCUGCUGGAUAUGUCUGCAGUUUUUGCAGCAGGAGUGCCCCAGCUAUAGCCAGCAAGGCUGCACAAAUUUUCCCUCGUCCACUACGUUUUUUUGCGGCCUGUAUGCCAAACCAUUCACUUGAAUUGGGGUUUAAAAAAACGGAAAGGAGUGUGCGUUUCGUGUCCGUAUGUCCGCAUGGCCAUUCCGCAAAAAAAUAGUACAUGUCCUAUUAUUGUUCGCAUUACAGACAAGGAUAGAACUGUUCUAUUAGGGGUCAGCCCUUCCCGUUCUGCAAAAUGAGUAAUGCACACGGCCAGGAUCCUCAAUUUACGGACCACAAAACCCUGCGAUUGGGUGCAUGUGCCCUAACUGAUGGAAAUAACUGACCAAAUAACUGAAGCAUGAACUUAGCCUAAAUUAAAUUCAUAGGAUAAAUAAUUUUAGAGUAAAGUUUAGACCUUUAGCCUUCAAUAGAUACAAUUUAGCCUACCCUUAGCUGAGAACUGAACUAGGCCUGUACAGCUUUUCAGUGUGUGGGCAUUUCCAUUUACUGAUGACAUGCAGGUACAGUAUGUUGAAAAUGGUGAUAAAACUGAACAUGAAACAAUUCUUCCCUACUGCUAUUGUGACUCUGCCUCGCCUUCAGAGAUGGAAUUUUAUUAUAGUCUCUAAUAGAAACCUAGAACACUGUACUCUGUAAGUUGAGCACUUCUUGUAAAAAUGAACUGAAUAGGUAUCCAAUAACAAUCCAGAACAUAGGGAUAGUAUGUUACAGAGUCUGUGAUUUUGUGGGUCAGGGACCAUAUUUUGAAUACAUAAUAAGGACAUAUUAUUACCAUUGUUUUAUUUAAUAUAGUUAUUUUCUGAGAAUUUAAUAUUGAUGGCCUAUGCUCAGGAUAGGCCAUCUAUAUACGAUCAUUGGGGGCUUGACCCCUGGCACCCCUGCCGCAGCAUCUUCCUAGACCAGUGGUCACAUGACCUUGGAGCUGUGUUUGGUAUGCUGUGAGGAGACCAAAGCGCAACAGCCUUUUCAAACUGCUGAUAGACAGGGGUGCUGGGAGUCGGACACCCACUGAUCAUUUAUUGAAUACCUGUUCUGAGCACAGGCCAUCAGUAUUUAACUCCCAGAAAAAACUUUUAAUCACAAACCUAAUAAAAACACAUAAAGCUUAUCCAACAUUUAAAAAAAGAAAAAUGAACCAAAAUAUACAGACCCUCAGUAAGGGCAUUUCAGCUAUAUACAGCGUAAUGCACACAUAAUAAUGACAUUACACGCCACCAUAUGGAAAAUCCAUAGCCACACAUCAUCCCAAAUGUUAAGCUGACCCAGAUUGGGCAUUGUGUGCCUGUGGGUCCACCACCUCCUAUGUGUCUUCUAUGUGCUUCUUCUUUGAGUAAUCAUGCAUUGAUACAUGCCGAUAGAUGUUACAUGAACACAAUAUUAGCAGUAUUCACUCAGUGCAGUAUAACCAUUCUCCUAAAACCCUUACCUUGCAAUAAUGUACACUAUGUAAUGAUGAAAUCUUUAUCAUACCUUUAUUCUUACUACCUAAUCAGUGUGUGUCCAUACAAAAUGUAUAUGCUCGUAUUUAAUUGCCAAAUGAUAUUUUUAUACCCAAGUUUGGAAUGUAUUUGCAUUUUUAUAUUAUACAUUAUUGUCAUUUAGUUGUAUUUCGUUUUUUCAGAAUUUUUUCAGAAACUACUA